UGGGCUCCAGCCCUGAUGCAGAGGUACAAAGCUCGUCUGGGCAGAUUGUUAUGCAAAUCAAAAGAGGAAGCAGAGCUAGGGGAGCCGAGGAGCUCCUGCUGGGCUCUGCCAGGGAAGAAGCCGCAGUAGGAGCCCCUACGUAGGCCCUGCAAGAGGCCUGGCGUUCAGGAAAGGGCCCGCUGACCAUCCAGUGCAGGGAAAGGAGUCCAGCUCUGGCCUCUGCCCCUCAGCUCCACCUCCUGCAUUCCUAGGAGUUCUCCAGAGGAUCUGAUGGGAGCUCAGAACCGGUCCCAACAGCUCCCUCCACCCUUCAUGAACGGGGGCUGGAAAAUGUGGUCUGCUCUGAUAAGGAUUUGCGUCAGGCUACUGGCUACUCAGCAGCCGAGAAGAGCAAGCCUCCAGGCCUCUGCACGCGUGCCUUCUGCCCGAGACGAUGGAUUCAUGGAGUUACUGUGAGGAAGACACUCAGCAUCGUGCCUGGUAUCGUGUGUGCUUCAUAAACGCCAGCCAUAGCAUGAUUCUUUAUAAAGGCACCAGCUGCAUUUAUGGAGUAAAUGCCUUUCUUGUGUCAUCUCGCUUGACUGGCAAAGCCAUAAGGCCAGGUGAGGAAGAUGAGGCAGGGGAUGAAGAGGAUAUAACACGUAGGAGGUGAAGUCACUAACCCAAAUCCUUGCAGCCGGCAAGUGGUCAGAAUUCUUGGACCAGGUGUGAGGCCUUAAGAGAACAAGCUAGCCCAGGGCUUGGCAUGAAGUAGGUGCUUAAUAAAGAUUGGUUUUAGCCAGGCGCAGUGGCUCAUGCCUGUAAUCUCAGCAC
rnacentral:lncRNA from 1 species